CGGGGAGCAGCAGGCGCGAAACCUUUACACUGCACGCCAGUGCGAUAAGGGGACCCCGAGUGCGAGGGCAUACUAGCCCUCGCUUUUUUCAACCGUAGGGAGGUUGAUGAACAAGAGCUGGGCAAGACCGGUGCCAGCCGCCGCGGUAAUACCGGCAGCCCAAGUGAUGGCCGAUCUUAUUGGGCCUAAAGCGUCCGUAGCUGGCCGCGCAAGUCCAUCGGGGAAUCCACCUGCUCAACAGGUGGGCGCCCGGUAGAAACUGCGUGGCUUGGGACCGGAAGGCGCGACGGGUACGUCCGGGGUAGGAGUGAAAUCCCGUAAUCCUGGACGGACCGCCGAUGGCGAAAGCACGUCGCGAGAACGGAUCCGACAGUGAGGGACGAAAGCCAGGGUCUCGAACCGGAUUAGAUACCCGGGUAGUCCUGGCCGUAAACAAUGUCUGCUAGGUGUGGCUCCCACUACGAGUGGGUGCUGUGCCGCAGGGAAGCCGCUAAGCAGACCGCCUGGGAAGUACGUCCGCAAGGAUGAAACUUAAAGGAAUUGGCGGGGGAGCAC
rnacentral:rRNA from 1 species